UCCGGUUGAUCCUGCCGGACCCGACUGCUAUCAGAGUGGGACUAAGCCAUGCGAGUCAACAUAGCAAUAUGUGGCAUACGGCUCAGUAACACGUAGUCAACAUGCCCAGGGGACGUGGAUAACCUCGGGAAACUGAGGAUAAACCGCGAUAAGUCACUGCUUCUGGAAUGGGCAAUGACUUAAAUCUAUAUGGCCCCUGGAUUGGACUGCGGCCGAUCAGGCUGUUGGUGAGGUAAUGGCCCACCAAACCUGUAACCGGUACGGGCUCUGAGAGGAGGAGCCCGGAGAUGGGCACUGAGACAAGGGCCCAGGCCCUAUGGGGCGCAGCAGGCGCGAAACCUCUGCAAUAGGCGAAAGCCUGACAGGGUUACUCUGAGUGAUUUCCGUUAAGGAGAUCUUUUGGCACCUCUAAAAAUGGUGCAGAAUAAGGGGUGGGCAAGUCUGGUGUCAGCCGCCGCGGUAAUACCAGCACCCCGAGUGGUCGGGACGUUUAUUGGGCCUAAAGCAUCCGUAGCCGGUUCUGCAAGUCUUCCGUUAAAUCCACCUGCUUAACAGAUGGGCUGCGGAAGAUACUAUAGAGCUAGGAGGCGGGAGAGGCAAGCGGUACUCGAUGGGUAGGGGUAAAAUCCGUUGAUCCAUUGAAGACCACCAGUGGCGAAGGCGGCUUGCCAGAACGCGCUCGACGGUGAGGGAUGAAAGCUGGGGGAGCAAACCGGAUUAGAUACCCGGGUAGUCCCAGCUGUAAACGAUGCAGACUCGGUGAUGAAUUGGCUUUAUGCCAAUUCAGUGCCGCAGGGAAGCCGUUAAGUUUGCCGCCUGGGGAGUACGGUCGCAAGACUGAAACUUAAAGGAGUUGGCGGGGGAGCACCACAAGGGGUGAAGCCUGCGGUUCAAUUGGAGUCAACGCCGGAAAUCUUACCGGGGGCGACAGCAGAAUGAAGGUCAAGCUGAAGACUUUACCAGACAAGCUGAGAGGAGGUGCAUGGCCGUCGCCAGCUCGUGCCGUGAGGUGUCCUGUUAAGUCAGGUAACGAGCGAGACCCCUGCCUCUAGUUGCUACCAUUAUUCUCAGGAGUAGUGGAGCUAAUUAGAGGGACUGCCGUCGCUGAGACGGAGGAAGGAGGGGGCUACGGCAGGUCAGUAUGCCCCGAAACCCUCGGGCCACACGCGGGCUGCAAUGGUAAGGACAAUGAGUAUCGAUUCCGAAAGGAGGAGGCAAUCC
rnacentral:rRNA from 1 species